UACGGGGGGGGCAAGCGUUGUUCGGAAUUACUGGGCGUAAAGGGCUUGUAGGCGGCCCACUAAGUCAGACGUGAAAUCCCUCGGCUUAACCGGGGAACUGCGUCUGAUACUGGAUGGCUUGAGUUCGGGAGAGGGAUGCGGAAUUCCAGGUGUAGCGGUGAAAUGCGCAGAUAUCAGGAAGAACACCCGUGGCGAAGGCGGCUCUCUGGAACGCAACUGACGCUGAGACGCGAAAGCGUGGGGAGCAAACAGG
rnacentral:rRNA from 1 species